UUUCCAGGAGGGAGAUAUCUGUGCCCAGCAAUUGUGCCAAGCCAAGAAGGCAAAUUUUAAAGGCACAAACUCUCUCUCUCUCUCUUUCUCUCUCUCUCUCUCUCUCUCUCUCUCUCUCUCUCUCUCUCUCUCUCCCUCCCUCCUUCCCUCCCUCCCCCCCUCUCUCUCUGUAUGUGUAUGUGUGUGUGUGAUCCACGGAUUCAAGGAGCUAGUAGCGCAACCACCUCCUGGAGCAAAGGCAGGCCUGCCAGUAUGGUGAAAUGUAUGAACUGUCUGCCCAGGGAAACCCUCAAAGGGGCUACAUAAAAGUGUUCAACUUCAGAAUCUUCCAAAGUUAAGGGCAACACAACUGGGCUUACGGCUGUUGUCCUGGGAAAUGAAGAGAGCCAUCUUGGACUGGAUGUACUUAAGGAAGUUGACAGCUGACCACUGGGGAAGUGACACACCUGGCAACAUGGAAGAGAUAGUUACAUAGAGUCACACACUGAGGAAUGGCUUCAAUGAAUGAAUGGCAAAGGGAGGAGUUUCCCAGGGAAGCAAAGUUGAGAGACAUCAGAAGGACAUCAAAAGGACCUGUAACCCAUGAAAGUCUCGUUUUUACCUGAACAAUGGAAACAGAAAAAACAACAGCCUUUUACAUUUGGCUUCCUGACAAGUGCAGGUUGUGCCACUUCCUUCUUUUUUCUUUCUUUGUUUGUUUGGGGUUUUUGUUGUUGUUGAUUUAGAGAUAGUUUUUAUUUAUUCUUUGACGACACAGGAAUACAUUGUACCUUGCUCAUACCCACCCUCACCUCCACCCUCCCACUCCUCUCUGAUACCCUGAACACAAACAUGUCCUCCCUAACUCUUUCCCUUUUGUGCCCCUCUGAGUCCAGCCAGUGUUGCCACUGGGACGCUGACUGGCCUUGCCUUGUGUCUGUGAAUCUGUGAGAGCAAUGGCUGGCCAGGUCCAGUCCAGAAGACAGCAUUUCACAGAACACUUUCCCAUCCUCCAGGUCUUACACUCUUUCUGUCCCCACUUCCACUGUUUUCCGAACCUGGGAGUGGUUGAGAUAGAUGUCGCAUUUAGGACUGAGCACUCCACAGACACUUGUCCUCAGUGCUCAGCCAGCUGUGAGUCUCUGCACUGACUGCUGCCCGCUGCAGAAAGGAGCUUCUCUGGCCACAGCUGAGAGCAGCGCUGACCUAUCUGCUGCUCCUCCUAGGACUCUGGUUUCCUGAGGAGGAAGGAAGGAUGAAAAGAUCAGUGACCAUCAGAGCGUCAGAGGCUCUCUCUCCCUCCCCCUCUCCUCCCUCUCUCCUUCCACCUCUCCUUCCCCCUCUCCUUCCCCCUCUACUUCCCCCUCUCCCUCUCUUUUUCCCUCUCCCUCUCCCUCUCCUCCGUCUCCUCUCCCCCUCCCCUCCCCUUCCCCUCUCCCUCCCUAUCCCCUCCUCUCUUUCCUUCUCUCUCCUUUUUGCAGUGUCAUGACCCUCAAGGGAUGGGUUCCAAGCUACUCCAUGGAUGCCUAGUAGUGCCGAGCUCUCCAAGUAUAUCUGCUGUAGUGUUUGAUAGACAUACAUGCUUAGAACCAUAUAUAUGGCACAGACAGA
rnacentral:lncRNA from 1 species